GGGGCGGCGGCGCGCGCGGCGCGGUGCGGCCAUAUUAGGCGAUCUCGGCGCCGCGGGAGCCCCGCCCGCCGCCCGGGAAGCCGCGGCCCGGGCAGCCCCGUCCCCGCCCGCCGCCGGCCCUGAGUCACCGGCCGGGCGGGGGUGGAAGUAACGGACGGGGGGCGCCGGGCGCGCUCCUCGCCUUAUUUAGUCAAGGAGGCCGCCGAUUGGCCGGCGGAACAAAGGGGCGGUGGCGGGCGGCCGGGGCGGGAGCGGAGGGGGCAGCGGCUGGCCCCCGCCCCCACCCCCGGUCCCCACCCCCGGCCGCCCGCGACCCCACAGCUCCGCUGCCCGCGCGGCCCCGAGGAUGGGGGUGGGGCUACCCGUGCCCGCGCCCCCCCCCCAGGUCCGGCGGUUGCAGGGGGUGCGGGGGAUGCGGGGCUGGGUCGCCUCCCGGCGGGGGAGGAGGGGAGUGACGGCCCUUCUGGGAAGCACCGCCGGGAGCCGGGAGUACGUGGACGCGGAGGAGCCCUGCCCCAGGCACACAGGGCAGGUGACUUGGUGAUGGGUCGGCGCCCCCAGCCUUUGGCCUGGCCAUUCCCACCUGCGAGGAAUGCCUUGCCUUCUCCAUGCAAAUGCGACGUGGGAUCCUGGUUUGGAUCCUGGGACACAAAAAAGGAAGGCAGCGGAGGAAGCAGUGAAAUCCGAGUAAAGUCUGGAGUUUAAUACCAAGUGCCAAAGUUCCUCGCGGUGACAGCUGAACCACGCCUGUGUAAGUUGUUACCUUAAGAGAAACUGAGUGGGGAGGCUACAGCAAAGCUCACGCAAUCUUUGCUACUCUUCUGUAAAUCUAAGAUUAUAAUAAAAACUUCAUUUUAGAACA